AGUGAACGCUGGCGGUAGGCCUAACACAUGCAAGUCGAACGGCAGCACAGUAAGAGCUUGCUCUUACGGGUGGCGAGUGGCGGACGGGUGAGGAAUACAUCGGAAUCUACUUUUUCGUGGGGGAUAACGUAGGGAAACUUACGCUAAUACCGCAUACGACCUACGGGUGAAAGCAGGGGAUCUUCGGACCUUGCGCGAUUGAAUGAGCCGAUGUCGGAUUAGCUAGUUGGCGGGGUAAAGGCCCACCAAGGCGACGAUCCGUAGCUGGUCUGAGAGGAUGAUCAGCCACACUGGAACUGAGACACAGUCCAGACUCCUACGGGAGGCAGCAGUGGGGAAUAUUGGACAAUGGGCGCAAGCCUGAUCCAGCCAUACCGCGUGGGUGAAGAAGGCCUUCGGGUUGUAAAGCCCUUUUGUUGGGAAAGAAAAGCAGCAGGAUAAUACCCCGCUGUUCUGACGGUACCCAAAGAAUAAGCACCGGCUAACUUCGUG
rnacentral:rRNA from 1 species